UGGUUCAAACUUUUUAUAGGAAGAGCAAGGAAAGAGGGCAGUUUCUGCCAUUGUUUUCACCUCAUGACAUUGACAAACAUACAACACUUCAUCUCUUCAACUAUAAAUCAUCAGCAGAAAGAGACUAUUCUUUUCCCACCACAAAUUUUACCAGUGCUCUUUACUCUCUUCCACAGAGAUCUUCGCUCUUGAAUGCAUAUUUCCCCUGAGGUUUAUGAAAUAACACCCAAAAAUUUCUAACAUGUAAACACUUAAUCGUUCCAAGGAUCAUUCUCUGCCCUCACUUCUGAUGGUUCAACUACUUCUGGC
rnacentral:misc_RNA from 1 species